rnacentral:rRNA from 1 species
UGCCUCAGUAACGGCGAGUGAAGCGGCAACAGCUCAAAUUUGAAAUCCGGCCCCGUCGGGGCCCGAGUUGUAAUUUGCAGAGGGUGCUUCGGACGCGGCGCCGGUCUAAGUCCCUUGGAACAGGGCGUCACAGAGGGUGAGAAUCCCGUACGCGGCCGGCCGCCAACCACCGGGUGAAGCCCCUUCGACGAGUCGAGUUGUUUGGGAAUGCAGCUCCAAAUGGGUGGUAAAUUCCAUCUAAAGCUAAAUACCGGCCGGAGACCGAUAGCGCACAAGUAGAGUGAUCGAAAGAUGAAAAGCACUUUGGAAAGAGAGUUAAACAGCACGUGAAAUUGUUAAGAGCGAAGCGCUUGCCGCCAGACCUGCCCGCGGGCGUUCACCCGCCAUUCGUGGCGGGGCACUCGCCCGCGACCAGGCCAGCACGGGUUCGGGCGGCGGGAGAAAGGGCCCGGGAAUGUAGCUCCCUUCGGGGUGCCUUAGAGCCCGGGUCGCCAUGCCGCCCGCCCGGACCGAGGACCGCGCUUCGGCUAGGGUGCUGGCGUAAUGGCGGCAAGCGACCCGUCUUGAAACACGGACCAAGGAGUCUAACAUCUACGCGAGUGUUUGGGCGUCAAACCCCGGCGCGGAAUGAAAGUGAACGGAGGUGGGAUCCCCGCGAGGGGCGCACCAUCGACCGAUCCCGAUGUCUUCGGAGGGAUUUGAGUACGAGCGUAGCUGUUGGGACCCGAAAGAUGGUGAACUAUGCCUGAAUAGGGUGAAGCCAGAGGAAACUCUGGUGGAGGCUCGCAGCGGUUCUGACGUGCAAAUCGAUCGUCAAAUUUGGGCAUAGGGGCGAAAGACUAAU